ACCCUCGAUAGCUCAGUUGUC
rnacentral:miRNA from 1 species